CGCCCAAAAGCUAGCUCAAACAAACAAAACCACUAUUUCCUCAUUGCUACCCCCUAAGACACCCACAUACAACAAAUAAAUCAUUCUGCCACUUUAGUACGGGCGACAGAAAAAGAACUACUGAAGCAAUAGAAAAAGUACCGCAAGGGAAAGCUGAAAGAGAAAUGAAACAACCCAGUAAAGCAUAGAAAAGCAGAGCCCUCACCUCGUACCUUUUGCAUCAUGAUUUAGCCAGCCCCUCCCAAGCAAAAUGAAUUUUAGUUUGACCCCCCGAAACCAAGGGAGCUACUCCAAGACAGCUUAAUUAAUAGAGCAACCCCGUCUCUGUCGCAAAAGAGUGGGAAGAGCUUCGAGUAGAGGUGAUAAACCUACCGAACUUGGUAAUAGCUGGUUGCCCGGGAAUUGAAUAGAAGUUCAGCCCCUUAUCUUCUUCCCUCUCCGAGGGUUCAACCCGACCCCCGACAAAAAGAAGUAAAGGAAGUUAGUCAAAGGGGGUACAGCCCCUUUGAAAAAGAUACAACUUAAGUCAGCAGGGUAAAGAUCAAAAUAUAUUAAGGCCUAAUAUUUUGGUGGGCUUAAAAGCAGCCACCCACUAAGAAAGCGUUAAAGCUCAAAUAUUUCACCGCCCCCAAUCCCGACAAAAUAAUCUUAUCCCCCUACCCCUACCGAGCCACCCCAUGCACGCAUGGGGGAGACCAUGCUAAUAUGAGUAAUAAGAGACCUUGACGGCUCUCUCCCAGUACAAGUGUAUAUCGGAACGGACUCACCACCGAAACUUAACGGCCCCAAAAAAAGAGGGUAAUGAAACCCAAACAGAACACAAGAAGACCGCUCACUCUCCGCCCGUUAAUCUUACACAAGCGUACUACAAGGAAAGAUUUAAAGAAAAAGAAGGAACUCGGCAAACACCUAAGCCUCGCCUGUUUACCAAAAACAUCGCCUCUCGAGAACUUCACAUGAGAGGUCCCGCCUGCCCUGUGACAAUAAGUUUAACGGCCGCGGUAUUCUGACCGUGCAAAGGUAGCGCACUCACUUGUCUUUUAAAUGAAGACCUGUAUGAAUGGCAUAACGAGGGCUUAACUGUCUCCUUUUUUUAAUCAAUGAAAUUGAUCUCCCCGUGCAGAAGCGGGGAUAAUAACAUAAGACGAGAAGACCCUGUGGAGCUUUAGACGCCAGGGCAGCCCGUGUCAAAUUAACCUCAACCAAGAGACUGAACUAAUCGGCCCCUGUUCCAGUGUCUUUGGUUGGGGCGACCGCGGGGGAACAAAAAGCCCCCAUGAAGACAAGGAGAACCGCACUCCUACAACUAAGAGCUACAGCUCUAAUUAACAGAACAUCUGACUUAAAAGAUCCGGCAAAGCCGAUCAACGAACCGAGUUACCCCAGGGAUAACAGCGCAAUCCUCUUCCAGAGCCCAUAUCGACAAGAGGGUUUACGACCUCGAUGUUGGAUCAGGACAUCCUAAUGGUGCAGCCGCUAUUAAGGGUUCGUUUGUUCAACGAUUAAAGUCCUACGUGAUCUGAGUUCAGACCGGAGUAAUCCAGGUCAGUUUCUAUCUAUGAAAUGUUCUUUUCUAGUACGAAAGGACCGAAAAGAAGAGACCCCUACUUAAAGCACGUCUCUCCCCCACCUAAUGAAACCAACUAAAUUAGACAAGGGGGCAUGCCCCUAGCCCAUAGAAAAUGGCAU
rnacentral:rRNA from 1 species